rfam:Asian citrus Psyllid, Diaphorina citri - Florida Strain, whole genome shotgun sequence.
GCUGGGAGUUUGGCAAGCUCCUGUAAUCGUGCGACUGCGAGGCCGGGAAGUGUGGAUGGUUUGAGAUGGGGAGUUCUAUGCACCAGUUGAUUUACGUAGACUGGGCGUCCGCACUAAGCCUGUCAUCAAUAUGGUUUCUCGGAGGGAGCUCUGAAUAACCAGGUUAGCUAAGGAGAGGCGAACCGGGCCAGGGGGGAAACCCAGCAGCCAAAAGUCUCCGUGGCAUGCAGUAGUGGGAUAGCGCCUGAGAGUGAACGCUGGUGUGUAGCCUCAUCAAUACAAUCAGACCAUUUCCUUU